UGCCAUUUCCAUAUCUUCUGACAGAGCUGAUUUUGUUACUGUAACUAAUUAUGGUGCCUGCUUUCCCCAACGAUGAGGCCCAGGUGAUUCCAGAAUACACAUGCUACAGGAUGAACACGUCUGAGGCAACAGAGAGAAACAGAUGCUGUAU